GCUGAAGCGGCAGACAACCACUGCUGCUGCGCGGCCCUGAAACUGAGUGAGAAAGUGUGUGUGUGAGAGUGUGUGUGUACUAAGAAGAGCAACCACUGAAAGUACAUAGCAGCAUUAACUAUUUAUGAGUCAAAAGGGAGAGGAUCCAGCAAUCACAUGUUUUAUGAUUUGGCAGAGCAUCCAAUUGCGUCAUGCUUCCCCACCAAUGCCGAUCUCUGCUCUGAUUGAGGAGAAGGAAGCUAACCCACGCACCCUCCGACACGUGGGCAGCAGCCGUGUGCAUCUUAUCACCUACACUUUGACGAGUGCAGUGCAGCCUAGCUGCGUGUACGGAGGGACACACCCCAAAGGCACUCUUUUUCUCAUCUCUGUGCCGGCGCCAUCAAUCAGCCAGCAGAGGUGUAUUGUCUCUCAAUGCAAAAAGACAGAGGUGUGGUUUACCUUGGACAGUACUUCUUCAUUUGGCAAUUCGGGUUCUGAUGUUCAUCAUUUACUAGCCUGCCAGGGGUGCUAUCUUGCUUCGUGGCAACAAUGCUUCAAGAUAAAAAAAAAGACAAUGCCAUAAGAUUCCAUAA